CCCGCGGCGCAUUAGCUAGUUGGUGAGGUAACGGCUCACCAAGGCCACGAUGCGUAGCCGACCUGAGAGGGUGAUCGGCCACACUGGGACUGAGACACGGCCCAGACUCCUACGGGAGGCAGCAGUAGGGAAUCUUCCGCAAUGGACGAAAGUCUGACGGAGCAACGCCGCGUGAGUGAUGAAGGUUUUCGGAUCGUAAAACUCUGUUGUUAGGGAAGAACAAGUAUCGGAGUAACUGCCGGUACCUUGACGGUACCUAACCAGAAAGCCACGGCUAACUACGUGCCAGCAGCCGCGGUAAUACGUAGGUGGCAAGCGUUGUCCGGAAUUAUUGGGCGUAAAGCGCGCGCAGGUGGUUCCUUAAGUCUGAUGUGAAAGCCCACGGCUCAACCGUGGAGGGUCAUUGGAAACUGGGGAACUUGAGUGCAGAAGAGGAAAGUGGAAUUCCAAGUGUAGCGGUGAAAUGCGUAGAGAUUUGGAGGAACACCAGUGGCGAAGGCGACUUUCUGGUCUGUAACUGACACUGAGGCGCGAAAGCGUGGGGAGCGAACAGGAUUAGAUACCCUGGUAGUCCACGCCGUAAACGAUGAGUGCUAAGUGUUAGAGGGU
rnacentral:rRNA from 2 species